rnacentral:rRNA from 1 species
GACGAACGCUGGCGGCGUGCUUAACACAUGCAAGUCGAACGGAAAGGCCCUGCUUUUGUGGGGUGCUCGAGUGGCGAACGGGUGAGUAACACGUGAGUAACCUGCCCCUGACUUUGGGAUAACUUCAGGAAACUGGGGCGAAUACCGGAUAGGAGCUCCUGCUGCAUGGUGGGGGUUGGAAAGUUUCGGCGGUUGGGGAUGGACUCGCGGCUUAUCAGCUUGUUGGUGGGGUAGUGGCUUACCAAGGCUUUGACGGGUAGCCGGCCUGGGAGGGUGACCGGCCACAUUGCGACUGAGCUACGGCCCAGACUCCUACGGGACGCAGCAGUGGGGAAUAUUGCACAAUGGGCGGAAGCCUGAUGCGGCAAUGCCGCGUGCGGGAUGCCGGGUUUCGGGUUGUGAACCGCUUUCGCCUGUGCCGAAGCGUGAGUGACGGUAAUGGGUAAAGAAGCACCGGCUAACUACGUG